GACUGUUUGCCGACAUACUUCUGUUUUCGCUGAAGGAAAAAAUUGAUGGCCAGAGAAAGGAAAGAGAAUUCUGGAAUUGACAAACGAAUGAAAAGAACAGAAUAGGGGGAAGCUAAUGAGACAAAUGAAAACAAAUGUGCAUAUUAUCUCACCAAGCAAGAUUACUUUCCCUAAUCUCUUUAUUGUCAGUACAUGCUUCUGACCAUGAAUAAUCAGAACGAUUGGUUUGGAGAUGGUGAACGGGGUAUCUAACAUAACCAGUCUUUAUGUUUAUAACAGAUAAUAAGCAGCACAUAAGCAUUAUUUAGACUGAAUUCUCAGUUUAACGCUUGUGAUUGAAGAUCACAUUGAUAGCUUUAGGUUCAGCUGUGACCAGGAUCUUUGGGUUAAAAUGGAUUAAAGACUGACCAGAAAGCCAAUCAGUUUCAGUACGAUUUAAGACAGUUAAACUGAUUCCCACCAACAAAUAGCACACAAGGUUUAAAGCAUGUUACCUCCACUCGCACAGCCUUUAUAUCUCCAACACAAGAAUAUCAACGCUUCAGAAUAUCAACGCUUCCACAACGGUUUCACCACCAUCUUUGAGGCGGGAUAUGAUUUUCACUGUCUUCUAUGGAACAUAUACAGAUGUUUCCGAUGUACUGUGCAUGGGUGAUGCAG
rnacentral:lncRNA from 1 species